GACGAACGCUGGCGGCGUGCCUAAUACAUGCAAGUAGGACGAAGUUGCGAACGGGAGAGGAACGCGUAGGUAACUGACUGUGAGAGGGGGGUAACAAUUGGAAACGAUAGCUAAUACCGCAUACAUGUAGGUGGACCUGCGUUGUAUUAGCUAGUAGGGGGGGUAAUGGACUACCUAGGCGAUGAUACAUAGCCUACCUGAGAGGGUGAUCGGCCACACUGGGACUGAGACACGGCCCAGACUCCUACGGGAGGCAGCAGUAGGGAAUCUUCGGCAAUGGGGGGAAGCCUGACCGAGCAACGCCGCGUGAGUGAAGACGGCUUUCGGGUUGUAAAGCUCUGUUGUUCGGGACGCGGUACUUGAACAGAAAGCCACGGCUAACUACGUGCCAGCAGCCGCGGUAAUUC
rnacentral:rRNA from 1 species